rnacentral:ncRNA from 1 species
CCUACACGCCUUGUUACGGGUGCCCCUCACAGGGUGAAACGGGAAACCGGUGCGUUCAGGCCUUUGGUCUGUACAAGUCCGGCGCUGCCCCCGCAACGGUAAGUGAGCGAAGAAUCAGAUCCACUGUGCCGAUCACGGCAUGGGAAGGCGAUUCUUGCAGGUUGAACGCCAUCGAGCGCUCACCCCCUCGCAAGCCCGGAGACCGGCCCGACAUGAAACAAAUAA